UCUAGCGGACCAGGCGGGCAUCUCUGCGCGGUGCAACUGCGCCGUGCUGUUCGCCCUGCUGGACUUAAGACUGUUAAACUUAUGCAGGCAGGACUUACUUAGCUCAUGUUUUCUUGGUCUGGGUGAUAUCAGAGUAUUAAUAAACUAAAUUUCCAGAGAGAUAAUCGGGUUAGUAGCCCUCUGUAGCGUUAAAAUCCCAGCCGUCAGAGAAUAGUGAUGGCGAGGGGCGAGGCGGCUCUGGGCUGCUGGAAAUACUGUCUCAGGAUUUCGAUGUUGGGUGCGCGGUGUCCCGUUUCUGAAAAUUCGGUGAGUUGUACACGUAUGUACACUUCUCUGUAGGUAUGUUAUAACUGAAUAAAACGUCUCAAGAAGAAAAAAAAAGAACUCAGGCUCCCUUCUCCCCAUUCUUCCUUGAGAGGUAUUUGGCAAAAAACAAACAAAAAAUACAAAAAGCCAAGGACAAGCACAGACUCUGAUCUUCCCGCCUUUCUAGGAAUUUAUCCAAAGGGAAUUAUCAAAUGCUUGAAGAAAGAUGGUUGUGUAGUGAUUCUUUUUUUUUUUCCCGGGGAGACGGCCUCAAUGUCCCAUCAGUGAGGAAUUAAUAAAUCAUGUUUCAGGCAUACAGUACUUUAUAUGCAGCCAUGAGAAAUGAUGUUGUAUACUUGGUAUGCUGGGGAAAUGCUCAAGAUAGGGUUUUUAAAAGAUAGAAAAUGAUGUUGGUGUGACUAAUAUUCUAAAGAAAAAUAAUACACAGGGAAAAAAACACCUAAAGGUACAUGAGGUAAAGCCACCUAAUCUACUAUAUUUUAUGUCUUAAAAGAACAGACAUGGAAGGUUCAUGUCCAUUAUCUUCAAAAAUUUUUGGUAUAUCUGAAAAUAUUUUUUUUAAGAUUUUAUUUAUUUAUUAGAGAGAGAGAGAGCACAAGCAAGGGGAGCAGCAGGCAAAGGGAGAGGGAGAAGUGGGCUCCUCCCAGGGAGCCCAACUCCCUCCCAGGACCCAGCUGAAGGCAGACACUUAACCAACUGAGCCACCCCAGCGCCCCUGAGAAUAUUUCUUUAAAAAUCUAAAGAUGAUGAGUCAAUUUCUAAUUUUUUUCUCCUUUUUUAUAGUUCUAUCAGUUAUUAUUUGCUAAAUCCAUUCGCUUUGCAAGGCCCUUGCUAAGUGCUUUGUUAUUCCAUUAUAUUAACAGGUAAUGGUGCAGGCUUUGCAGUCAGGUGCCCUGUGAUUCUGUUCACCUACAUCACUUUCUUAGAGUGAUGACCUUGGGAGAUUACUUAACCUCUCCUAACCACAAUUCCCUAAUACGUGAAUCAUAGGUCUGUUUGGUAAUCUUUAUAAAGUACCCAGCAUAUAGUAAGUGCUCAGCAAAUACUAAUUACUGUGACAGUACAACUAUGACACUCAGGUAGAUUCUGUUGUUAUUCAAAUUUUACUAUUGAGGAAAUUGAGGCAGGCUUGGAGAGAUUAUGAUUUACCCAAGGUCAGUCAUCUAGGAACUUGUCCAGUAGGGGUUCAAACUCAGGCAAUUUGAAUAAAGAUAAGGAGUGUAUUAAAUUGUUAAUAAUGACUGAUGAUUAGUUAGUAAAACAUGUGGAUAGCAAUAAAAAGGAAUGGAGAACUGAUACAACAUGGAUGACCCUCAAACACGUGCCAAGUGAAAGAAGCCAGAUACAAAAGACCACAUCCUAUAUGAUUCCAUUUCUAUGAAAUGUCCAAGACAGGGAGUAGAUUAGUGGUUGCUUAGGGUUGGGAGAGGGGCAGGGGCAGGGAUGGCAGCUAAUGGACGCAGAAUUUCUUUUGGGGGGAAAAAAUGUCCUAAAAUUAGAUUGUAAUGGUUGCCCAUCCCUGGGAAUAUACCAAAAACACUGGAUUAUAUACUUUAUUUUUUUUUAAAGAAUUUAUUUAUUUGACAGAGACACAGCAAGAGAAGGAACACAAGCAAGGGGAGUGGGAGAGGGAGAAGCAGGCUUCCCGCUGAGAAGGGAGCCUGAUGCGGUGCUCGAUCCCAGGACCCUGGGAUCAUGACCUGAGCCAAAGGCAGACGCUUAACGACUGAGCCACCCAGGCGCCCCUGGAUUAUACACUUUAAAUGAGCAAACUGUAUAGUCUCUGAAUUAUGUAUCAAGGAAGCUGUUAAUUUUUUUUUUUCCUGGUGUUUGCCUGUGGGGAUUACAUAAGAAGAGAAAUGAGACAAAGUUUUAGCAUUUAACUUUGCAUAUUCAGAAUUUUAAAAAUGUGUUUUCAAUGCACAUGUUAUUUUUAAUUACAAAAAUAUUAUUUUAAAAACAACUAAUUUGGGGAUGCCUGGGUGGCUCAAUCGGUUGAGCAUCUCCUUUCUGCUCAGGUCAUGAUCCCAGGGCCCUGGGAUCGAGUUCCACAUCAGUCUCCUUGCUGGGUGGAGAGCCUGCUUCUCCCUCUGCCUGAUGCUCCCUCUGCUUGUGCUCUCUCUCUCUCUCUCUGACAAAUAGAUAAAUAAAAUCUUAAACACACACACACACACACACGAAUUUGGGGCACCUGCGUGACUCAGUUGGUUGAGCAUUGACUCUCGGUUCUGGCUUAGGUCAUGAUCUCAGGGUCGUGAGAUGGAGCCCUGCGUCAGCUCUGUGCUCAGCAUGGAGUCCACUUGAGAUUCUUCCCCCCUCCCCCUCUGGUCCCCCCUACCUCAAGCACACACGUGUGCAUGCGUACACUUUCUCUCUCUCUCUCUCAAAUAAACAAAUCUUUUUUAAAAAAACCCCAACAACUAAUUUACUUUAAAAAAUCAGCAAAUAAAUAAAAUGCUACCCUAGACCCAGCUGGCCUAAUUUGUGUAGAAGGUCCCCAUACCUGCUUUGAGGACAGCAGGCCCCACAGAUAAGCACUAAAGAUGUUCAUUGUGCUAUUCACUUAGCAAAUAUGUAGUGAUGACCCAUUUGGUAGUGAUGAUACACAUGUGAAUAAUAUGCACCUCCUGCCCUGGCUAGCUGACAGCCUAGUUGGAGAACCAGCUCUGGACAUCAACAACUACAAUACACAAUGUUUAGACACAAUGAAGCAGAGGAGAGAAUGACUAAUGAGGUGGAGAGGCGUCCCAAAGCCAGGGGUGUUUGAGCUGGUUGUGGGGAGGAGCACCCAAGGCCAAGGCUUCAGGGAUGGGCUUCCACAGAAGAAAAGCUAGUGCCUCUCUGGGGGCCCCAUGAAAAAAUAGUUAAGCUCCAGGGUCUCCAAAGGAGGCCACCCUAAGACUUCGGGGCCAUAUGCACCCUUCUGAUGCACCAAAGUAGAAAAUGUAGGGGAGACAAGCCAGGCAAGGCUUUCAUUCUUCUGAAGCAGAUAAAUCCUAGACAGCACUCAGGUCUGUGCUGAAAUGGCUGUUGUCCAUUGUCUGAACAGUCCUGGACCCUCAAGUUGGCAAUGAGGAUGGAUACAGAAGGUUUGCCUAUGGUCAAGGCCCUGAAGGAAACACCAGCAAAGUCAAGUAAUGUGAUUUCUUUUUUAGCAUCGCAGGAGCAGGAAUUGUAAACCCUUGGUGACCUUCAAUCAUGGGUUGUAUUCCUGGAUACCCACAGGAAUGAGGCUGUCAAGUGUGAUGGUUACAGAUAUGGGCUCUGUGGCCAGAGAGACUGGGUUAAAUCCAGUACCUACCUUACAGAGUCAGCGUGUUUAGAGUGGCACCUGGCAAGUGGCAAGCAUGAAAAAAAAUAUGAACUAUUAUCUUCCCAUAUAUCCAAAGCAAGGAAAUAAGAUUUUGGAUGAAGAAAGCGUUAAGUAUAUGGUGAUAUGUGGAUGUCAUCUAGUUCCCCUCAUCGCAGAUAUACUGUCCAUCUUCUUGGAAACAUCAUGAAGACUCUCAUUACCCACCUUACCUUGGAACAGUUGACAUGAGUUGAGUUAAAGGCUUCUAGUGAGUAAGAAAAUAUGUUACACGGCAGUGCGGGACUUGGAGGGUGGGGUGAGAAUGAGUGAUCAGCCCCAUUCAAGGGCAUUUUCCAUAUGGUAGGCAGAAAGACAUCCCCAAAGAUGCCCACACCCAAAUCCUCCAGAACCUGUAGAUAUAUUACUACAUAUGCCCAAAGGGACUUUCCAGAUGUGAUUAAGGUUAUGGACCGUAUGAUGGCAAGAUUAUCCUGAAUCAUUUGGAUGGGCCCAAUCUAAUCAUAUGGAUCCUUCCAAGAGGAGAAUCUUUGCCAGAUGAUUUAGAGGGAGGUGGAAUUAUGGAAGAAGAGUCAGACAGAUGCACCUGUCCUGGUUUUGAAGAUGGAGGAAGGGGCCAUGAGCCAAGGAAGGUAAGUGGCCUCUAGAAACCAGAAAAAGCAAGGAAAGGAUUCUCCACUGAGCCUCCAGAAAGGACUGCAGCCCAGCCAACACCUCAAUUUUAGCCCUGUGAGACCCAUGUAAGACUUCUAACCUAUAGAAUUGUGAGAUGGUAGAGGCGCCUGGGUGGCUCAGUCGGUUGAGCAUCUGACUCUUGAUUUUGGCUCAGGUCAUGAUCUCAGGGUCCCAGGAUCAAGCCCCGCAUCUGACUCCCCGUUCAGCAGCAAGUCUGCUUGUCUCCCUCUCCCGCUGCCCCUCCCCCUGCUUGUGCUCUCUCUCGCUCUCUCUCGCUCUCUGAAAUAAUAAAUAAUCUUUAAAAAAAGAAUUGUGAGAUAACAACUUUGUGGGAGUUGUGCGGUAGUUUAUUACAGCAGCAAUGGGAGAUGAAUACACUCCCAUGCAAAUCCUCUCUUCAGUGCAGACUGUCCUGUUUAUUCACUGUCCACAGUCACAAAAAGCUGCUUCUCCAUUUCUGUCUCUACCUUCUCUGCAGGAGGCUGAGUACCCCUCAGACGACUCCUAAGAUAGAGCCACAUGUCUCACGGUCUCGGAUGUGUGCAAGUGCACGCGUGAGCACACCCACAGCUCUAGGCCCCCCUCCUGUGGCUGCCGCUAACCUCGUCGCAGUAAUGGUAGCAGGGCAGGGUGCUAUUGUUCCCAGGCCCUAAGGCCUGGCCUCCUGCCUCACACCAUUGCUGUAGGUUUCCUUAGGCUCCCUUAGUUUAUUUUCAUUCUCUGGCUGCUGGAGUCUGUGGGGCCAGGUGGGGGGACAGUCAGAAUGUAAGGCAUAGCUCUGUGCCCUUCAACCAAGCAGGAGACUUCACUCUGCACUCUUGGGAGGGAGCUUUUUCCCUGGAGGCUCCUUUGGUCUCAGUCCCAUCUCCAGCCCAGGCAACCCAAGCCUGACUCCUGGGGCCUCUACCGUGAGCUUACACAGUUCUCUGAAACUUAUAUAGUUCCCUGAAAAGUACUUAGAACAGUGCCUGGCAUUUAGUAAGCACUGCAUAAGAGAGCUUAUAAACAAAUAUCCUACAUAUGUUCUGUCUGCUGUCUCGUGUGAUUUGUAUAGCAUAGGGAUUAAGAACACAGAUGUUAGGGUCAGACUGCUGGCCUUCGUUUGGAUCCUGUCUGCCCCACCUACUAACUUUAUGACUUAAUCUUCUAAGUAUCUUCUAAAUUUCCCUGUCUAUAAAAUGUUGAUAAUUCUAUUUACCUCCUAAGAUUAAAUGUGAUGAUAAACAUGCAGUGGUUUUGAAGCAUGUCUGCAAAUUUAGCAGGGCUAAAAUUGCAAAUAAAACUCUUCCUUCACAGGGUGGAGACUAAUUCCCCACCCCCCCAUCUUGAAUACAGGCUGGAAUUUUGACUCACUAGUACUGAACAGAAGGCUGUUGAAAGUGACACCACGUGACUUCUGAGGCUGAGGCAAAAAGGCUAUGCAGGUCCCAUCUGGCUCUCUCUCUCAGGACAUGGGUUUUAAAGCCCUGAGUCAUCCAGGAAGAAGUGUGGCUAUCUUCAUACCACUAGGCUGGAGGCACCACAUGGAGAAAUCACACACUUACACAGACUUUUGCAGCCCCCAGCCAUUUGAAUCUUCCCAGCUCAGGCAUCAGACCUGUGACUGAUGAAGCCUUUGAAAUGACCCCAGCUCAAGUCAGUGUCUGAUUGCAAUUCCAUGAGAAACCCUUACCCAGAACCUUCUUGCUGAGCCCAUUCAACCUCCAGAGUGAUCAAAAGUAAUAAUAAUUCUUACAGUUGUUGUUUUACAAUUUGGGUUGUUUUGUUACACAGCAAUAGGUAACUGAUAUGCACAUAAAGCACCUCGAACAUGAAAAGCAUGGAGUAAAUAGUAGUCCUAAUUCUUAUUACUUCAAAUUAGCACCAUCCUGGCCCACUAGGGCUUCAUUUAUUAAUAAUGGCAGCUACAAUUUCUUGAGUACUUAGUAUAAAUCAAGCAUAGUCCAUAUGCAAUUUCUUCUUCACUCUGCAUGAGUAUCAUUAUCCCUUUUUUACUGAACCUCCAAGGGGUUAAGUAAUUACCUGAGGCUACACCCAAGGAGUAAUGUGGCUUAGAUUCAACCCUUGGCUCCUCUGACUCUCAGAGCCUGUUGUAAAGCAUACUCCAGUAUAGUAACUGCCACUUGAGUCCUUCUAAAAUGCUGCCCAUGCUGAGUCCUCUGCCCAGGCUGGACCACCAACAGCUAUCUCCAUGAAGAGCUAACAGGACUGGGGCUCUUGCCAUCCCCUGCAGUGUUCUUUCAGGUUGACUUCUGCACACUUGACAUCAGGCAGGAGCCAGAACUUGGAAUUUCCUAGAUGAUGCUCAGGAGGUGUGAUGAGAUGGACUCAGUUGGACCUGAUUUACCAUCAUGCAUGAAACAACCAAAAAAAAAAUUAAAAAGACAAAGUACAUGAAAGAAAGAUUUUUCAAUGAAAGAUGGUGAUUUCUGAGAGACAGAAACAAAAGGAGUGAGCCCUAUAAAAAUCCAGCUUACUAUUUUGAGAAAGUUCUCAGGACAUGAUACAGGGAGGCAGAACUGAGGCAGAGUCUGGCAGAGUCUGGCAACUCCCUGAGUUGAGAAGACAAAAUGGACAGCAAGAGAGACAGAGGCUUCUAGAGUUCAUAAAACAGAGUAACAGAGAGAAGAAAACCAUACAGAGAGAGGUCUCUGAAGAUCUACAGAGGGUCCUCCUCAAGUAUUCAGUGGAUCACUGAAUCAAUGCAUGCAUGUGAGGAAACGGAGUAUGGGGGAAAGAUCAAUCCAAAAGGAAUAAAGGAAACAGUGCCUGUUUCUGCGAAUCAGACUGGGAAAACUUAUAAUUCAUUGGGUGGAGUAUUGAGGAAAAUCUUCCCUCAUUAAUGGGAAAUGAUUAGCUCCAGACUGAGCAUUGCUACUGACCUGCAUAGCAAAUAAUGAAAGCAAAACCCAAAAGGAUCCAACUGUUUCCAAGUAAUCUAACUGCAUCCCAGAGCAAAACUCAAGAUUUAUAGGAAUACAAAAAUAUCCAACACCUAACCAGAUAAAGAUCCAACGUCUAGCAUCCAAUCAAAGACUGCUAGGCGUAUAAAGAAGCGAGAAAAUAUGACUGAUAAUGAGUAGAUUUAAAAAAUCAGAGAAAGACAUUAAAACAGUUAUUAUAGGGGCACUUGGGUGGCUCAGUUGUUAAGCAUCUGCCUUCGGCUCAGGUCAUGAUCUCAGGAUCCUGGGAUCGAGCCCCACAUCGGGCUCCCUGCUUGGCGGGAAGCCUGCUUCUCUCUCUCCCAUUCCCCCUGCUUGUGUUCCCUCUCUCGCUGUGUCUCUUUCUGUCAAAUAAAUAAAAUAUUAAAAAAAAAAAAACAGUUAUUAUAACUGUAUUCCAUAUGCUUAGAAAGUUAAGUUGAGGACUUGAAUGGACAUUUCUCCAAAGAUGAUAUAGAAUGGCCAAGAAGCAUUUGAAAAGAUGUUCAACAUCACUAAUCAUGAGA